UACGAGGGGGGCAAAUGUUGUUCGGAAUCACUGGGCGUAAAGGGCGCGUAGGCGGGCUGUCAAGUCUGGGGUGAAAUGCCGCGGCUCAACCGUGGAACUGCCUCAGAUACUGACGGCCUCGAGGAAGGUAGGGGCAUGCGGAACUGUAGGUGGAGCGGUGAAAUGCGUUGAUAUCUACAGGAACUCCGGUGGCGAAAGCGGCGUGCUGGACCUUUUCUGACGCUGAGGCGCGAAAGCUAGGGGAGCAAACGGG
rnacentral:rRNA from 1 species